AGCAAUAUACUCAAUAACGGAAGAAGCAUCGUACGAAUCAUUAUAGAGAUUUAAUUUAUACGAGUAGCAAACUCAGUAAAUAAAAGAAGCAUUGUGUGAAUCAUUAUAGAGAUUCAAUUAGUACGAGUAGCAUACAUAGUAAACAGAAGAAGCAUCAUAUGAAUCAUUAUAGAGAUUCAAUUAGUACGAACAACAUACUCAGUAAAUAGAAGAAACAUCAUACGAAUCAUUAUAGAGUUUCUAAUAAUAUCCUGAACCAUAUGUAUGUUUUAUUAAAUCUUUUACUGACCUUCACGCAAAGUCGUUACAACAUAUAUCCAUUAAGGGCAGAAGCGAUCUCUGACUAGCGCUGUGAAUCAUUGACCCAUUCUCGGGUCCUUAUCAUUUCCCUAUCUAGAUUCUAACCAUGGCCAUCUAUUGGCUAUGGGGAUCAUACAUUCACUUAAUGUGUAUUUCCUCUCAUAAGAGGGAACACUGAUCAUCAUAGGGAACAGUUUACUAACACUUAUUC
rnacentral:lncRNA from 1 species